GUGUGAUUAACUAAAAUAUUAAAUAAAAUAAUUAGAGCUGAAUGAAGAUUAAUCGCAUCCAAAAUAAAAGUUUGAUAGACAGACAGACAGACAGACAGACAGACAGACAGACAGACAGACAGACAGACAGAUAGAUAGAUAGAUAGAUAGAUAGACAGACAGACAGACAGACAGACAGACAGACAGACAGACAGACAGGUAGAAAGAUAGGUAGAAAGAUAGAAAGAAAAACAUGCAUGCAUAUAUUUGAGAAAAAGGUUUUGUAUUUAGAUAUAAAAUAUAAAUGUUAUUUAAAUAUCUAUGCAAAAAAAGUCAUAAAGUGCAAAUCAUCUCAGAUUGGUUUCUCGAACGGCCUCCACAGUCACCAGAUCUCUAUCCAAUAGAGCACCUUGGGAUGUGGUGGAACGGGAGAUUCAUCAUGGAUGUGCAGCCGACAAAUCUGCAGCAACUGUGUGAUGCUAUCAUGCCAAUAUGGACCGAAAUCUCUGAGGAAUAUUUCCAGUACCUUGUUGAAUCUAUGCCAUGAGGGAUUAUGGCAGUUCUGAAGGCAAAAGAGGGUCCAACCUGGUACUAGUACCUAAUAAAGUGACCGGCGACAGGUGAAGCGUCCAAGUGCGUUUCAGGGAUGGUUGCCUGUUAUUGCUCAGCGGAGGAAGGCAUGGGAAUCUCGGCGCUGUCGUCUGCUUCUGGCUUUUUAGUGCUGCUUAUUGAUUUUCCAGUCUUCAGGCCAGACGCUGUGGUUUUCUCCAGCCGCAGGACUGGAGUUUGCGGCACAGAAACCGACUGCACGCCUUGCUACGGGUCAGCGUGCUUCUCCUCGCCAGCCCUGUCAGACAAGUUUCUGAUCAUGUGACAGAAGACGGGCGCAAUGAUGCUGUAAAAUCAGCUUUACAUCACAGGACUCCUUUGCAUAACCUGUCAAUUCUGCAUUUCAAAUCCUUCAACGUACUUGGCGAGUCUCUGGACAAACUGGUUACAGCAGAAAAAUCAUCCAUACGGAGACUCUUGGAUCGGAGACAAAACCUGCAUGGGGUGAAAAGAAGUGAGAAAAGAAGCCAAUUAAGCCAAUUAAAGUUCAAGUUAGGGUGUUAAAUGCUGGUGCUGGGAUGCUGAAAUGAGCACUGGAUACCUGAGGUACUUUUAAACUUGCAUAACUUACCAUAAAUUAUUCAUUCUUUCCUAUUGUAUAGCCAAUUGUUUCUGGAUAGUGAAACUUUUGAUAUUGCAAAUACGUCAUUCUGUCUGUUUUUAUCACCAA